rnacentral:lncRNA from 1 species
GUUUUUACUCUGCAGUGUUGUUUUUACUCUGUGGUGGUAUCUCUACUCUGCGGUGGUAUCUUUACUCUGCAGUGGUAUCUUUACUCUGCGGUGGUAUCUUUACUCUGCGGUGGUAUCUUUAGUCUGUUGUGGUGUCUUUACUCUGUGGUGGUAUCUUUACUCUGUGGUGGUAUCUUUACUCUGUGGUGGUAUCUCUACUCUGUGGUGGUAUCUCUAGUCUGUUGUGGUGUCUUUACUCUGUGGUGGUAUCUUUACUCUGCAGUGGUGUCUUUACUCUGCGGUGGUAUCUCUACUCUGUGUUGGUAUCUUUACUCUGUGGUCGUAUCUCUACUCUGUUAUGGUAUCUUUACUUUGUGGUAGUAUCUUUACUCUGCGGUGGUAUCUUUACUCUGUGGUGGUAUCUUUACUCUGUGGUGGUAUCUCUACUCUGUGGUGGUAUCUCUAGUCUGUUGUGGUGUCUUUACUCUGUGGUGGUAUCUUUACUCUGCAGUGGUGUCUUUACUCUGCGGUGGUAUCUCUACUCUGUGUUGGUAUCUUUACUCUGUGGUCGUAUCUCUACUCUGUUAUGGUAUCUUUACUCUGCGGUGGUGUCUUUACUCUGUGGUGGUAUCUUUACUCUGCGGUGGUAUCUCUACUCUGCGGUGGUAUCUCUACUCUGCGGUGGUAUCUCUACUCUGCGGUGGUAUCUCUACUCUGCGGUGGUAUCUCUACUCUGCAGUGGUAUCUCUACUCUGCAGUGGUAUCUUUACUCUGCAGUGGUAUCUUUACUCUGCGGUGGUGUCUUUACUCUGCGGUGGUAUCUUUUCUUUGCGGUGGUAUCUCUACUCUGCGGUGGUAUCUUUACUCUGCAGUGGUAUCUUUACUCUGCGGUGGUAUCUUUACUCUGCGGUGGUAUCUUUACUCUGCAGUGGUAUCUUUACUCUGCGGUGGUAUCUUUACUCUGCAGUGGUAUCUUUACUCUGCGGUGGUAUCUUUACUCUGCAGUGGUAUCUCUACUCUGUUGUGGUGUCUUUAAUCUGUGGUGGUGUCUUUACUCUGCAGUGGUGUCUUUACUAUGUGGUGGUAUCUUUACUCUGUGGCGGUAUCUUUACUCUGUUGUGGUAUCUUUACUCUGUGGUGGUAUCUUUACUCUGUGGUGGUAUCACUACUCUGUGGUGGUAUCUCUAGUCUGUUGUGGUGUCUUUACUCUGUGGUGGUAUCUCUACUCUGUGGUGGUAUCUCUACUCUGUGGUGGUAUCUUUACUCUGCAGUGGUAUCUCUACUCUGCGGUGGUAUCUUUACUCUGCAGUGGUAUCUCUACUCUGUGGUGGUAUCUUUACUCUGCAGUGGUGUCUUUACUCUGUGGUGGUAUCUUUACUCUGCGGUGGUAUCUUUACUCUGCGGUUGUAUCUUUACUCUGCGGUGGUAUCUCUACCCUGUGGUGGUAUCUUUACUCUGUGGUCGUAUCUCUACUCUGUUGUGGUUUCUUUACUUUGUGGUAG